rnacentral:lncRNA from 1 species
CUUCCACAAAAUAGUUCUUAAAAUGUCUAGUCUGCUUUCAUAAAAAAAACAUGCGCCCUACAGAUCAGGUGCAUCAAAAUACUCACUUCCCUGAAAGUUCUGCAAUAGAAACAUUUAUAGAGAGAAAGCUUACUUCGAGGAACACUGUUGUGAAGAAGGUGGUAGCAGAGAUACACUGUCAUGAUGCUAGCAACCAGAGGUUAAUCCUUGCUUUCAGUUAUUCAAAGAUCGCUGAGAAAUGCUAAACCAUCAGCACUUCUGUGCUAAUACACAAUGUGAAUUAAAUUUUGGCUUGUCAACUCCCUAGCCAUAAAACAAAGUUUAAUGGAAUCACGUGCUUCUCCAUAGCCAUUCAUGACACCGCUCCUAAGUACCAUAAAUAAUCUUGGAAGUUGAAAACUUAUUCAAUAAUGGCGGUUACAUUGAUGUCACCACAGAAUUUAGGCAACACUUUUCUGCUUUUUAGCAGCCUACGCGCUAAUCUAAACAUAGCAAGAAAAGCUAAGACUGCAAAGGGUUAUGUGCAGGCAAUUGUUCAACAUAAUGCUCAAAUAAGCAAACUGGCAAGCAGCGAAAGAUCCGAAGUCACGUGUCUGGACAUCAAUAUUAACUCUCCUUUGAAUGACCUUUGGAGUAAAGGAUGCGGAAGGAAGACAAGGAUUGAGUACGAACGUUGUACAACAGCGCCUUCUCCUGGAACAAAUACGCACAGCAGUAAACACACACGCAAUAUUUUAUAUCGAUGCAUUAUAUGAUAUAUUAUAUAUUAGGCCUAUGUUAAUAAAAGUCUGAAAACACCGUUUCUAUACUUGGGAUAAAUACGUGGAAUUCAGUAAAGGAAAAAAAACCAAACAUUAUUUGAAAAGACUGUUAUUUUGUAUUUCAGCAAUGAUCAUUUUAAUCUAUUUUUAUUAUGUCAGUUUGUUGUUCCACCUCACCUUAUACAAACGUUUCUUACUGAAUUCCGUAUAGCCGAGUUAUUGAACAUAACCUGAACAUAACACAAUUAUGUUCUUCUCGGGGAAAAUACAUCAACAUUUCUAUUUUCAUAAAACAGAACUUUUUUUUCUGAUUAAAUCAUCUAUCUGGCAUUGUGUUUAUGUUAUUGUCAUUAAAUCGAACACUGUUUUUUAUAUUUACUUAGCUCUUUUACUUAUUUCUUAUUUCAUUAAAAUUUUAUUUCAUUAAAAAUAAUUCCCUUCCCCCUACUCAGUUUACAGUUGUAUAUUCAUAUCUAAAUACUGUUGUGUGGGUACGAGAAUGGGCUGGUUUGUUCCUUGUUAGCUGUAAUGCAAAAACACUUAUAGUUGUUAUUCUUAAUAAAGCG